ACUUUGAUAGUGUAAUGACAGCACUUCAGCCUCCAAAGCUGAGGGUACUGGUUCGAAUCCGGUUCGGAGUG
rnacentral:tRNA from 1 species